UAGGGAAUCUUCCGCAAUGGACGCAAGUCUGACGGAGCAACGCCGCGUGAGUGAAGAAGGAUUUCGGUUCGUAAAACUCUGUUGUUAGAGAAGAACAGCGCAUAGAGUAACUGUUAUGCGUGUGACGGUAUCUAACCAGAAAGCCACGGCUAACUACGUGCCAGCAGCCGCGGUAAUACGUAGGUGGCAAGCGUUGUCCGGAUUUAUUGGGCGUAAAGCGAGCGCAGGCGGUCAAUUAAGUCUGAUGUGAAAGCACCCGGCUCAACCGGGGAGGGUCAUUGGAAACUGGUUGACUUGAGUGCAGAAGAGGAGAGUGGCAUUCCAUGUGUAGCGGUGAAAUGCAUAGAUAUAUGGAGGAACACCGGUGGCGAAAGCGGCUCUCUGGUCUGUAACUGACGCUGAGGCUCGAAAGCGUGGGGAGCGAACAGG
rnacentral:rRNA from 1 species